rnacentral:rRNA from 1 species
GACGAACGCUGGCGGCGUGGAUUAGGCAUGCAAGUCGAACGGUAGGAUCCUUUCGGGGAUCUGAGAGUGGCGAACGGGUGAGUAACACGUAGGUGAUCUACCCUCAAGACGGGGACAACCCAGGGAAACUUGGGCUAAUACCGGAUGUGAGCUAUCGCGAGAUAGUUUGAAAGGUGGCUUCGGCUGCCGCUUGAGGAUGAGCCUGCGUCCUAUUAGCUAGUUGGUGAGGUAACGGCUCACCGAGGCAGUGAUAGGUAGGCGGCCUUAACGGGUGGUCGCCCACACUCGGGAUUGAGAUACGGCCCAGACUCCUACGGGAGCAGCAGUCGAGAAUAGUCUACAAUGGUCGAAAGACUGAUAGUGCGACGCCGCGUGAACGAAGAAGCCCUUCGGGGUCGUAAAGUUCUUUUAUAUGUGAGCAGUGACACCCAUAUUAAUAGUAUGGGUGUAGAGAUAUUAGCAUAUGAAUAAGCAACGGCUAACUCCGUGCCAGCACGG